AGGAGAGUUUGAUCCUGGCUCAGGAUGAACGCUAGCUACAGGCUUAACACAUGCAAGUCGAGGGGCAUCAGGGAUCUAGCUUGCUAGAUUUGCUGGCGACCGGCGCACGGGUGAGUAACGCGUAUCCAACCUUCCCCCCAGUAGGGCAUAGCCCGGCGAAAGUCGGAUUAAUACCCUAUGUUUUCCAAUGAGGACAUCUGAGUUGGAACAAAGAUUCAUCGCUAGGGGAUGGGGAUGCGUCCGAUUAGGUUGUUGGCGGGGUAACGGCCCACCAAGCCCGCGAUCGGUAGGGGUUCUGAGAGGAAGGUCCCCCACACUGGUACUGAGACACGGACCAGACUCCUACGGGAGGCAGCAGUGAGGAAUAUUGGUCAAUGGGCGAGAGCCUGAACCAGCCAAGUAGCGUGCAGGAUGACGGCCCUAUGGGUUGUAAACUGCUUUUAUGCGGGGAUAAAGUGACGUACGUGUACGUUUUUGUAGGUACCGCAUGAAUAAGGACCGGCUAAUUCCGUGCCAGCAGCCGCGGUAAUACGGAAGGUCCGGGCGUUAUCCGGAUUUAUUGGGUUUAAAGGGAGCGCAGGCGGGGAGCUAAGCGUGACGUGAAAUGUAGCCGCUCAACGGCUGAACUGCGUCGCGAACUGGCUUUCUUGAGUGAGUACGACGUCAGCGGAAUUCGUGGUGUAGCGGUGAAAUGCUUAGAUAUCACGAAGAACCCCGAUUGCGAAGGCAGCUGACGAGUCCUUUACUGACGCUAAAGCUCGAAGGUGCGGGUAUCGAACAGGAUUAGAUACCCUGGUAGUCCCCU
rnacentral:rRNA from 1 species